CCUACGGGUGGCUGCAGUGGGGAAUAUUGGACAAUGGGGGGAACCCUGAUCCAGCCAUGCCGCGUGUGUGAAGAAGGCCCUCGGGUUGUAAAGCACUUUCAGUGAGGAAGAACGCCUGGUGGUUAAUACCCAUCAGGAAAGACAUCACUCACAGAAGAAGCACCGGCUAACUCCGUGCCAGCAGCCGCGGUAAUACGGAGGGUGCGAGCGUUAAUCGGAAUUACUGGGCGUAAAGCGCGCGUAGGUGGCUUGAUAAGCCGGUUGUGAAAGUCCCGGGCUCAACCUGGGAACGGCAUCCGGAACUGUCAAGCUAGAGUGCAGGAGAGGAAGGUAGAAUUCCCGGUGUAGCGGUGAAAUGCGUAGAGAUCGGGAGGAAUACCAGUGGCGAAGGCGGCCUUCUGGACUGACACUGACACUGAGGUGCGAAAGCGUGGGUAGCAAACAGGAUUAGAUACCCCAGUAGUC
rnacentral:rRNA from 1 species